rnacentral:ncRNA from 1 species
AGCGAAAUUGAGUAUGCAAUUGAAAUGAUAGCAUCGAUUAUGAGAGAAAUAUUUGACGAUACGUCUAAGAGUCAAGUUGUUUGUGAUUGUAGCUUAAAAUGGGAGGUAAAAUUUCUCCUAAGGCUAAAUAAUAGCGAGAGACCGAUAGCGAGCAAGUACCGUGAGG